rnacentral:rRNA from 1 species
CUACGGGAGGCAGCAGUGGGGAAUAUUGCACAAUGGAGGAAACUCUGAUGCAGCAGCGCCGCGUGGAGGAUGACACUUUUCGGAGCGUAAACUCCUUUUAUAUAGGAAGAAGAUGACGGUACUAUAUGAAUAAGCGCCGGCUAACUCCGUGCCAGCAGCCGCGGUAAUACGGAGGGCGCAAGCGUUACUCGGAAUCACUGGGCGUAAAGAGCGUGUAGGCGGAUUAAAAAGUCAGAAGUGAAAUCCUAUAGCUUAACUAUAGAACUGCUUCUGAAACUCUUAAUCUAGAAUAUGGGAGAGGGAGAUGGAAUGUCGGGUGUAGGGGUAAAAUCCGUAGAGAUCAGAAGGAAGACCGAUUGCGAAGGCGAUCUACUAGAACAUUAUUGACGCUGAGACGCGAAAGCGUGGGGAGCAAACAGGAUUAGAUACCCGCGUAGUC